rnacentral:rRNA from 1 species
UACGAAGGGGGCUAGCGUUGUUCGGAAUCACUGGGCGUAAAGCGCACGUAGGCGGCUUUUUAAGUCAGGGGUGAAAUCCUGGAGCUCAACUCCAGAACUGCCUUUGAUACUGAGAAGCUUGAGUCCGGGAGAGGUGAGUGGAACUGCGAGUGUAGAGGUGAAAUUCGUAGAUAUUCGCAAGAACACCAGUGGCGAAGGCGGCUCGCUGGCCCGGUACUGACGCUGAGGUGCGAAAGCGUGGGGAGCAAACAGG